AAUACCCUGCCUUGUUCGCUAACAGGCAAAAAUCUCUAACCUUCUAUUGUAUUAGGGAGCUUGAAUACGGCGUGGAGCGGAUUCGCAAGAAUCCCGGAAGCGACGACUAGAGCACCCACCUCGAAUGCGAGGUUUAAGAGAUUAACGCCCUUACGAUUAUGGUGGGGUAUUU
rnacentral:other from 1 species